CCCCUUUCCGCUCCGAAAUUAUUCGCUACCUUCAAAGAAACAGGGCACAGCACAGCCUGUCUCUGGCCCAGCCUCUUCCACAGACGUAUGCUGCAGCCAGCCCAGCUCAGAGAGCAGUGGGAGACACAUGAUCUCAUCCUGUCAACCCAAGCAACAUGGGUCGCAUUGAGGCUUAGAUGGAAGAUCCCAGGUAUCUCGUGGAGAGGACGUGUCUGGGUUCCUGGAGACUGUUUCCUGCUGGAGGUUUGAGCGGGGAGAGAUCACUCAGAAGAUCACUCGGGUCUGCAGGGUUCAUGGGAGCAGCCACACUCCAGCAGGCCAUCUGGAAGCCUAC